UCCAAAGUGCAGAUUCAGGGCAUAUGACCCGCCUGUAACCAAAAACGUAAAUGACAAAGAUGUUUGAAAAACAAGGAAAGAACAUAUUAAAAAAGACGAAGCCAUUGGACGAGCAUUGCCUAUUGCCAUUGUUGUUGGAAUCGCAAUUCUUGGUGGAAUAUACUUCUACCUGGACAACACCUAUUAAGGUCUUGAAUUGAAGUUUUGUACUCAACAUAGCUUUUUUUCUCAUCACCCUGUACUUGUGAGGGUAGUGAUCUCUUUUAACAUCGAUACUGCUACUCUUAAUUCUUUUUGUAUAAUUGUACUAGUGAGAAAUAUUGAAGCAUAAACAUGAUGAAAGCAUAUUGAUAUCAUAUUCUAUAUCAUCUCAAUGUCCUCAUUCCUGUUUUUAA